rnacentral:rRNA from 1 species
CAAGGAAUUUUCCCCAAUGGGCGCAAGCCUGAGGGAGCAACGCCGCGUGCAGGACGACGGCCUUCGGGUUGUAAACUGCUUUUGCGUGGGACGAUAACGACGGUACCACGCGAAUCAGCCCCGGCUAACUCUGUGCCAGCAGCCGCGGUAAUACAGAGGGGGCAAGCGUUGUUCGGAAUUACUGGGCGUAAAGGGCGCGUAGGCGGUCUGUUGCGUCAGGUGUGAAAGCCCCGGGCUCAACCUGGGAGGUGCACUUGAUACGGGCGGACUGGAAUCCGGGAGAGGAUGGUGGAAUUCCCAGUGUAGAGGUGAAAUUCGUAGAUAUUGGGAAGAACACCGAUGGCGAAGGCAGCCAUCUGGCCCGGUAUUGACGCUGAGGCGCGAAAGCGUGGGGAGCAAACAGGAUUAGAUACCCCCGUAGUCC